rnacentral:rRNA from 1 species
AGAGUUUGAUCCUGGCUCAGGAUGAACGCUGGCGGCGUGCCUAACACAUGCAAGUCGAACGAAGCACCUUACUUGAUUCUUCGGAUGAAGGUCUGGUGACUGAGUGGCGGACGGGUGAGUAACGCGUGGGUAACCUGCCCUGUACAGGGGGAUAACAGCUGGAAACGGCUGCUAAUACCGCAUAAGCGCACGAGGAGACAUCUCCUUGUGUGAAAAACUCCGGUGGUACAGGAUGGGCCCGCGUCUGAUUAGCUGGUUGGCAGGGUAACGGCCUACCAAGGCAACGAUCAGUAGCCGGUCUGAGAGGAUGAACGGCCACAUUGGAACUGAGACACGGUCCAAACUCCUACGGGAGGCAGCAGUGGGGAAUAUUGCACAAUGGGGGAAACCCUGAUGCAGCAACGCCGCGUGAGUGAAGAAGUAUUUCGGUAUGUAAAGCUCUAUCAGCAGGGAAGAUAAUGACGGUACCUGACUAAGAAGCUCCGGCUAAAUACGUGCCAGCAGCCGCGGUAAUACGUAUGGAGCAAGCGUUAUCCGGAUUUACUGGGUGUAAAGGGUGCGUAGGUGGCAGUGCAAGUCAGAUGUGAAAGGCCGGGGCUCAACCCCGGAGCUGCAUUUGAAACUGCUCGGCUAGAGUACAGGAGAGGCAGGCGGAAUUCCUAGUGUAGCGGUGAAAUGCGUAGAUAUUAGGAGGAACACCAGUGGCGAAGGCGGCCUGCUGGACUGUUACUGACACUGAGGCACGAAAGCGUGGGGAGCAAACAGGAUUAGAUACCCUGGUAGUCCACGCCGUAAACGAUG